AAUGAACGUUGGCGGCAUGGAUUAGGCAUGCAAGUCGAGCGAGAAGGAAAUCAAAGUUUACUUUGGUUUCCGGAAAGCGGCGAAAGGGAGAGUAACGCGUAGUUAUCUACCCCAAGGCCCGGAAUAGCUGCGGGAAACUGCAGGUAAUGCCGGAUAAUAUCCCCGGAUCAAAGGUGUGAUUCCGCCUUGGGAGGAGACUGCGUUGUACUAGCUUGUUGGUAGGGUAAUGGCCUACCAAGGCUACGAUGCAUAGCGGGCGUGAGAGCGUGGCCCGUCUCACUGGGACGGAAACACUGCCCAGACACCUACGGGUGGCUGCAGUCGAGAAUCUUCGGAAAUGGGCGAAAGCCUGACCGAGCGAUGCCGCGUGCGGGAUGAAGGCCCUCGGGUUGUAAACCGCUGUCGUAGGGGAGAAAGGACCGUUGAAGAGACGGUUUUGAUCUAUCCUAGGAGGAAGUCCGGGCUAAGUUCGUGCCAGCAGCCGCAGUAAUAC
rnacentral:rRNA from 1 species